GGGAGAAGAACUGGUUCCUGAGCUAAGGAGUAGCACCUUGGACAGAGCAGUGCUGGGCAGGCUUUGGGAAGCAGAGCAGGACUUUGGCCCAGAUACCUGCCAGGCUGUGGCCCUUGCUAAGAGGGGUUGAGAAGAGACUCUCAUUAUAUAAAAGGCAUAUAUGAUGGCAUACUAUGAAAGUUUUAGUGGCAUGAAUUUGGGAUGGUCACAUUACUCAUGAGUGGACUCAAAAAUUGCACCCUUCCUGGCACAUCAGGCCAGUGAAAUUAUUUUGGUGAGGAAGGAGAAGUUCCAUAUUUGAUGGAGAGAGAAAUAUCGCUAUGAAUGUACAGCCUGCUAACAAAGAAGAGAGAGGAGUCAACAAUAUUGAUGGGCCAGAUGGUUGAGAGGGGCGUGGAGAAGUUGAGUGGCACCAACCUUAUUAUCAGAAUCACCCAGAUGGCAGAUUGACAAUCCUAAAGCAAAGCAUAUGCCCCAAGGACAAGAUAAAGAGUGGAGCCAGAGGGACGAGAUGAGAAACAGCUGUGGAUACUUCCAGUAGCAACACAAAAUAAUACUGAUUGGGAGCAACCUUGAUGACCUCGUAAUUAACAGCUCCGGUAUGACACAGCAAGGUCCAUAGACUUCUAUGGGAACAUAUUACUAUAAAAGAAGGGUGUAUUGUCAUAGGACUUAGCAUUCAUUCUUCAUCAACAUUGGAGCUUCGGGUGCAUCUGACAGAGACCCAGCUCCAGUUGCUCCCCCUCCCUCAUGUACAGUUUCAGCUGGCCACUGGAACUGACAGAGCAACACUAAGGACUGCCUGAGUCCCAUGGACAUGCAGCAGAGGAAAAAUGGCACCAUCCCUGAUGUCACACCCUGGUGAUACCUUCCAUUUGAACCGCCAAUGACUGACUAAGUUGAUGCAUUUCCUAUAAACUUCUUCCUCAAAAGAAUACAUGGGGCUAUUUUUCCACCUAGCCACCAUCCAAAUUCUAGGUGGUAAUUGUAUAAUGGGAGUACCUAGAGACCCCAAUCCAAUUUGGGGUCCCAUUGUGUCUGAACUAUAGAAACACAGUAAGAGACAGUCGCCUUGUAGAGCUCGGAAUCUAAAUAGUCAAAACAGAAAUGACAAAGGAUGGAGAGAAAUAGAGGCAAAGGGCCUUGUUUCUGGAGAUAGCAGGUCAGUGAGGGAGAGGGGAAAAUGACCCAGGUGACCUGGGUUGCUAUUCCAGUGCCCUACCAGUUAUAUCUCAGCUGAGUCCUUUUUCUUCCUUUCACAUGUGAUCAGAGACUGUGGGUCUCAAGUCUUGGUCCACCUUGUUCU